rnacentral:rRNA from 1 species
GGAUCGCAGGCUGCAACCCGCCUGCGUGAAGUUGGAAUCGCUAGUAAUCGCGGAUCAGCAUGCCGCGGUGAAUACGUUCCCGGGCCUUGUACACACCGCCCGUCACACCAUGAGAGUCGGGAACACCCGAAGUCCGUAGCCUAACCGCGAAGGGGGCGCGGCCGAAGGUGGGUUCGAUAAUUGGGGUGAAGUCGUAACAAGGUACC